UACCACGGGACACGUGAAACCCUGUGAAGCAGGAGGGACCACCCUCCAAGGCUAAAUACUACCUAGUGACCGAUAGCGUAUAGUACCGUGAGGGAAAGGUGAAAAGAACCCCGGGAGGGGAGUGACAUAGAACCUGAAACCCUGCACUUACAAGCUGUGGAAGCACAUUUCUUGUGUGACCGCGUACUUUUUGUAGAACGGGCCAACGAGUUACGUUAAGUAGCAAGGUUAAGCACUUAAGGUG
rnacentral:rRNA from 1 species